GACGAACGCUGGCGGCGUGCUUAACACAUGCAAGUCGAACGGAAAGGCCCUGCCUGUGUGGGGUGCUCGAGUGGCGAACGGGUGAGUAACACGUGAGUAACCUGCCCUUGACUUUGGGAUAACUUCAGGAAACUGGGGCUAAUAACGGAUAGGAGCUCCUGCUGCGUGGUGGGGGUUGGAAAGAUUCGGCGGUUGGGGAUGGACUCGCGGCUUAUCAGCUUGUUGGUGGGGUAGUGGCUUACCAAGGCUUGGACGGGUAGCCGGCCUGAGAGGGUGACCGGCCACAUUGGGACUGAGAUACGGGCCAGACUCCUACGGGAGGCAGCAGUGGGGGAUAUUGCACAAUGGGCGGAAGCCUGAAGCAGCAACGCCGCGUGCGGGAUGACGGCCUUCGGGUUGUAAACCGCUUUCGCCUGUGACGAAGCGUGAGUGACGGUAAUGGGUAAAGAAGCACCGGCUAACUACGUG
rnacentral:rRNA from 1 species